UACAGAGGUCCCAAGCGUUGUUCGGAUUCACUGGGCGUAAAGGGUGCGUAGGUGGCGGGGUAAGUCUGAUGUGAAAUCUCCGAGCUUAACUCGGAAACUGCAUCGGAUACUGCCUUGCUCGAGGGUUGGAGGGGGGACUGGAAUUCUCGGUGUAGCAGUGAAAUGCGUAGAUAUCGAGAGGAACACCAGUGGCGAAGGCGACUACCUGGCCUGUUCUUGACGCUGAGGCGCGAAAGCUAGGGGGAGCAAACGGG
rnacentral:rRNA from 1 species